UAUAAAUACUAUUAAGAUCUUUAGACACAGUAUCAGUGAUCUACAGUUAUUACAUCGAUACACGUCGAAUCUUUCACUAGUUGAGUUACCUCAAAUUCACAUCCAAACACCCAUCAUGUACAAGUUUUUGUUAUUGGUUGUUGCCGCUCUGGCUAUGGUCGCCAUUGUUUCUUCCCAAGUCUCUUACACCUACCCACAUACCUACGCACCGCUAUACUCCUACCCAUCGUACCAGUACACUUACCCAGUAGUGUACAAUCCAUACAUCAUUCUACUUCGUCGAUGAACACAUUUUUUACCAACUCUAAACUAUUUGGAGUUAUUGCGCAGUUCAACGCCAAUCUUACGAAAAUUAUGACAGCUUAAAUUGUACUUAUUUUACUACAUUUAUUAUUUGCUAUUUUUUGACUGUUAAUUCUUAUAUCUUGAUGUAAACAUUUAUUUAAUCACAAUGUAAUACUUUUUAAAUUCUUUUUCGAAGAAUCAUUUAAUGUAAUAUAUAUCAUAAUUUAUUGAAA